AACCUAGCACACCUGCGGUGUGUACCUGCGGAGGGAUCAUUACAGAGUGUUCUACCCCCUAUAAAAUAGGUGGGUUUAACCUCCCGUCCUUUGCUAGACCCCCCAAUUUUUUUUGGAGGGCCUUUUCAAACCUUUCUGCUUCGGCGAGGGGUAAAACCUCGCCGGAACACCCUCAAAAAAAAUUCUUGGUCAAAAUGGUUCAGUCCGAGAAACUUUUUGUGAAAAUUAAUUAAAAACUUU
rnacentral:misc_RNA from 1 species